GCCGAUCAGGCUGUUGGUGAGGUAAUGGCCCACCAAACCUAAAACCGGUACGGGCUCUGAGAGGAGAAGCCCGGAGAUGGGCACUGAGACAAGGGCCCAGGCCCUAUGGGGCGCAGCAGGCGCGAAAACUCUGCAAUAGGCGAAAGCUUGACAGGGUUAUUCUGAGUGAUUUCCGCUAAGGAGUCUUUUGGCACCUCUAAAAAUGGUGCAGAAUAAGGGGUGGGCAAGCCUGGUGUCAGCCGCCGCGGUAAUACCAGCACCCCGAGUGGUCGGGACGAUUAUUGGGCCUAAAGCAUCCGUAGCCGGUUCUACAAGUCUUCCGUUAAAUCCAUCUGCUUAACAGAUGGGCUGCGGAGGAUACUAUAGAGCUAGGAGGCGGGAGAGGCAAGCGGUACUUAGUGGGUAGGGGUAAAAUCCGUUGAUCCACUGAAGACCACCAGUGGCGAAGGCGGCUUGCCAGAACGCGCUCGACGGUGAGGGAUGAAAGCUGGGGGAGCAAACCGGAUUAGAUACCCGGGUAGUCCCAGCUGUAAACGAUGCAGACUCGGUGAUGAAUAGGCUUCGUGCCUUUUCAGUGCCGCAGGGAAGCCGUUAAGUCUGCCGCCUGGGGAGUACGGUCGCAAGACUGAAACUUAA
rnacentral:rRNA from 1 species